rnacentral:rRNA from 1 species
UUUUCGGUGGCGAUAGCGUAGGGGUCACACCUGUUCCCAUCCCGAACACAGAAGUUAAGCCCUACAGCGCCGAUGAUACUGCACGGGAGACUGUGUGGGAAAGUAGGUCGCCGCCGGAAU